UACGUAGGGUGCAAGCGUUGUCCGGAAUUAUUGGGCGUAAAGGGCGCGUAGGCGGCCCUCUUAGUCGCGUGUGAAAGCCCCGGGCUCAACCUGGGAACGGCGCGCGAAACGGGAGGGCUGGAGUUCGGGAGAGGAGAGUGGAAUUCCCAGUGUAGAGGUGAAAUUCGUAGAUAUUGGGAAGAACACCGGUGGCGAAGGCGGCUCUCUGGACCGAGACUGACGCUGAGGCGCGAAAGCGUGGGGAGCAAACAGG
rnacentral:rRNA from 1 species